rnacentral:rRNA from 1 species
AACGAACGCUGGCGGCAUGCCUAACACAUGCAAGUCGAACGAGACCUUCGGGUCUAGUGGCGCACGGGUGCGUAACGCGUGGGAACCUGCCUUUAGGUUCGGAAUAACUCAGAGAAAUUUGAGCUAAUACCGGAUAAUGUCUUCGGACCAAAGAUUUAUCGCCUUUAGAUGGGCCCGCGUUGGAUUAGCUAGUUGGUGGGGUAAAGGCCUACCAAGGCGACGAUCCAUAGCUGGUCUGAGAGGAUGAUCAGCCACACUGGGACUGAGACACGGCCCAGACUCCUACGGGAGGCAGCAGUGGGGAAUAUUGGACAAUGGGCGAAAGCCUGAUCCAGCAAUGCCGCGUGAGUGAUGAAGGCCUUAGGGUUGUAAAGCUCUCUUACCCGAGAUGAUAAUGACAGUAUCGGGAGAAUAAGCUCCGGCUAACUCCGUGCCAGCCGCCGCAGUAAGAC